AAGAAGACGAGCGUCAUAAAUUAAAAAGUGAUACACACAUAUAUUACAAAAGAGAGAGGGAAAUAUGGCUAAAAUUGUCAAUUUUGUUUAUAGUAUGAUUGUCUUUCUUUUCCUAUUUCUGGUUGCAACGAAGGCUGCACGGGGUUAUCUAUGUGUUACUGAUUCUCAUUGUCCACCACAUAUGUGCCCCCCCGGUAUGGAACCGAGGUGUGUGCGUCGAAUGUGUAAAUGCCUUCCGAUAGGGUGGAGAAAAUACUUUGUGCCAUGAAUUUUCAUUUAGUGUUAGACCCAAGAUAAUACACAAAUACUCUGCUACAAUAUUCCAUAAACUGUCAUUUAGUUAUUUUCUUGUCACCCAAUAAAUUGAUUUUUAUUUUCUUUUUAUAAUUUCAAGAACUUUUUAGUUAGAUAUUAGCACUCUAAAAUAAUGAUAAUGAAAUGAAACAAGACAGCAACGGAUAUUGUUUACAUUA